CACCUCUGCCCCUGCAGAGCCCAUCAUCCAGAUCUUGGCCUGAUGGAAGCAGGAGCUCUGGGUAGCACAGCUGCAUUUAUCCACCUAAACUUUAAUUCAGCCCUAAAUCUACAGAUCUCACCAUUUUGAUGGUAUUUAGAAGAAUGAGCAAUUUCUAUCACCUCAGCUCAUCAGCUAAACAACAUUAAUUUUGAAAAUGGGACCUCAACUAAGCAGCAAGAAUCCCACCUGUGUCACCAACACAUCACCUGCUAAUGCCAGACUGAAGUGGAGCAAUACACAGCACUGUCUUAAAAGAUCUGCUGAUUCAUUAAUGCUCAUGCUUUCCCUUCAAUAGCAAAUAUCUCCUUUUGUCUCAA